rnacentral:lncRNA from 1 species
AGAUGGAAAUGCGGAAAUCACCGUCUUCUGUGUCGCUCAGGCUGGGAGCUGUAGACCGGAGCUGUUCCUAUUCGGCCAUCUUGGCUCCUCUCCCUCUUUAAAGUGAUUGCUCACUGAUGCCUUAUCUAGUUCUCUUGGUGAGGUCAUGUUUUCCUGGAUGGUCUUGGUGUUUGUGGAUGUUCAUCAAUGUCAGGGCAUUGAGAAGUUAGAAUGUGAUUUUGAAGAAAGGAGGAAAGAUGUGAAAAGUGAUUGGUCAGCCACAUUCAUGGUGUUGAGAAAAGAAUUUGCUUUUCUGGAACAUAGCCUGUGAUAGCAGAACAACACCUGGCAAGAAACAGGUUAUGUUUGGCUGGAGAGUCAUUGGCACUAUCAAGAAAUAUUAAAGUGUAGAUUUGAGAGAGGAGGAGAAAGACCCAAGCAAAAUUGAAAACCAGGUGGGACCCAGACAGCAGCAAAGCAAUGGAAGCAUGUAUUUUGGUCAAUAUAGAGUUAAUACACAAUUUUGCCCCUCUUCUUCUGAUCAUGGGACUCAUAUUACCAGUCUUCACAUUUCCUUUAAAUUCAGGAAUCAGGAAGAAUUUCCAGAGUUUGCAGAUGGACACAUUUGCUGCUUCCAUUCUAAACAUAAGUUAGAAGAACCUUUCAACUGGAUUCCAACUUUAAUAUGUCACAAACAUAAAAAAGAAAGCUAUUUCCUGGACUUUUCUUCAUUAGAAAUUAAUAGAUUGUCAAUUGGCAUAGGGAAAAGAUAAUCAACAGAUGCCAACCCCAAGUUAACAGAAAUGCUAAAAUUAUAAGACAAAGACUUCAAAAUAGCUAUUUUAAUUUUGCCUAGUGAGGUAAAUGCAAACAUGCUCACUAUGAAUGAAAACAGGUAAUCUCAGCAGUCAUGUAAACUAUAAAAAUAAGCAAAUAUAAAUUUUAGAAUUAAAACACAAUAUCUAAAAAUAAAUUCACCUGAUAUUCUCAAUAGAAAAAAUGGUAAUGCAGAGAAAAAUGUAUGAAAAUAUGGCAAUUUGAAGAAGAGAGAAGAGAUCAAUAAAAUAAAUAAGUAUAUCCUUGGAGACCUGUGGAUGUUUUUUGAAAAGUGAAUCAUGUAAGUAAUUGAAGUCCCAGAAGAAAAGAAAAGAAGAGGAUGAGCAGAAAAAAAUUUCUGAAAAAAUA